rnacentral:misc_RNA from 1 species
UAAUAAGUGUUUAUGGCACUUCUUAAAUCCAUAUCCACCUUGUGUGCAAUGUCAGCCGUUUUUCUUUAUGGAAGGCGGCCAAACAUCAACUUAUUUUUUAACUGUCUGUCUGAAAACUAUUAUGAAUAAACAAUUCAAAUA